rnacentral:snRNA from 1 species
CUUCGGUGCUUAUCUUCUG